UACGGGGGGGGCAAGCGUUGUUCGGAAUUACUGGGCGUAAAGGGCGCGUAGGCGGCCUUCUAAGUCGAACGUGAAAUCCCUGGGCUCAACCCAGGAACUGCGUCCGAUACUGGAAGGCUUGAAUCCGGGAGAGGGAUGCGGAAUUCCAGGUGUAGCGGUGAAAUGCGUAGAUAUCUGGAGGAACACCGGUGGCGAAGGCGGCAUCCUGGGCCGGUAUUGACGCUGAGGCGCGAAAGCCAGGGGAGCAAACGGG
rnacentral:rRNA from 1 species